AACCUCCGCAAUGUGAGAAAUCGCGACGGGGGGAUCCCAAGUGCCAUUCUUAACGGGAUGGCUUUUCAUUAGUGUAAAGAGCUUUUGGAAUAAGAGCUGGGCAAGACCGGUGCCAGCCGCCGCGGUAACACCGGCAGCUCUAGUGGUAGCAAUUUUUAUUGGGCCUAAAGCGUCCGUAGCCGGUUUAAUAAGUCUCUGGUGAAAUCCUGCAGCUUAACUGUGGGAAUUGCUGGAGAUACUAUUAGACUUGAGAUCGGGAGAGGUUAGAGGUACUCCCAGGGUAGAGGUGAAAUUCUGUAAUCCUGGGAGGACCGCCUGUUGCGAAGGCGUCUAACUGGAACGGUUCUGACGGUGAGGGACGAAAGUUGGGGGCGCGAACCGGAUUAGAUACCCGGGUAGUCCUAACUGUAACGAUGCGGACUUGGUGUUGGGGUGGCUUUGAGCUGCUCCAGUGCCGAAGGGAAGCUGUUAAGUCCGCCGCCUGGGAAGUACGGUCGCAAGACUGAAACUUAAAGGAAUU
rnacentral:rRNA from 1 species